CGUCUAUAUACGUAUAGCAUAUCAAUAAGCGGAGGAAAAGAAACUAACAAGGAUUCCCCUAGUAACGGCGAGUGAAGCGGGAAGAGCUCAAAUUUGAAAUCUUAAAGGGUUUCCCUUUAAGAAUUGUAGUUUAAAGAAGUGUUUUCUGUUGGAGUUUCGGUAAAAGUUCUUUGGAAUAGGACAUCAUAGAGGGUGAGAAUCCCGUAUUUGACCGUUACUUUCCAGCUGUGUGAUACACUUUCAAAGAGUCGGAUUGUUUGGGAAUGCAGUCCAAAAUGGGUGGUAAAUUUCAUCUAAAGCUAAAUAUUGGCGAGAGACCGGUAGCGAACAAGUACCGUGAGGGAAAGAUGAAAAGAACUUUGAAAAGAGAGUUAAACAGUACGUGAAAUUGUCAAAAGGGAAGCGUUUGACACCAGUGUUGUAUAGUUGAAAAUCAAUUCAAUAAGUUUUUGAUUUUGAAGUAGUAUUGACUUUAUCAGCUUGCUGCUUUUUUUUCAGGAAUUAUUGAAUGCACUUUUCAGUUAACAAGUCAACAUCAAUUUCUUUUGUUGUAAAAGGGUAAGAGGAAGGUGGCUUACGUUUCGGCGUAAGUGUUUAUAGCCUUUUACCUCUGCAAUCGGAGAGAUUUGAGGACAGCAGCGUAGACUCCUUCUGGGGUUAGAUACACUUGUGCUAAGCUAUAGCCUUGUAUAGACGACUUGUUGACUAUGCUCAGUCAUGUAGUUUACUCGCUUGUGCUAUUUUACCUACGCUUAGGAUGUUGAUAUGCAUGACUGAUAU
rnacentral:rRNA from 1 species